AUGGCAUGUAUAUGCGUUACUUCAACUUGCACUUUAGGCCUUGCCAGAUUCCUCGCAGCCUGGUGGCCUGAAGGCAAUGAAGCUGACGCACUGCACCUGGCGCAUGUUGUCGAAGCCGAUGACGCGGACAUAGGCAUCAGGGUACUCCUUCUUGACCUCCUCCACCUCGCUGAGCACCUGCGUUGCGUCGGUGCACCCGAACAUAGGCAGCUUCCACAUUGUCCAGUAUCGACCGUCGUAGUAGCCGGGGGAGCUGUUGUGCUCACGGAAGACGAAGCCAACCUUGCUGAACUCGAGGCAGGGCACCCACUUGGAGCGGAUCAGGUAGUCGACCUGCUUUAG
rnacentral:rRNA from 1 species